UACGGGGGGGGCAAGCGUUGUUCGGAAUUACUGGGCGUAAAGGGCUGGUAGGCGGCCAACUAAGUCGGAUGUGAAAUCCCCAGGCUUAACCUGGGAACUGCAUCCGAUACUGGUCGGCUUGAAUCCGGGAGAGGGAUGCAGAAUUCCAGGUGUAGCGGUGAAAUGCGUAGAUAUCAGGAGGAACACCCAUGGCGAAGGCAGUUCACUGGCAGUCUCCUGACGCUGAGGCGCGAAAGCGUGGGUAGCAAACAGG
rnacentral:rRNA from 1 species